rnacentral:misc_RNA from 1 species
AAGUCGUAACAAGGUUUCCGUAGGUGAACCUGCGGAAGGAUCAUUAAAGGUUUCGGGUACCUAGUGCCCAAACUUCAACCCUAUGUUUAAUUUAUACAUGUUUCUUUGCCGGUUUCGGCCGGCAGAAGUUUUCUCAAACUCCUUUAUAAAUGUGUCUUCUGAAUCAAAACUAAAUAAAUUAAAACUUUCAACAACGGAUCUCUUGGUUCUG